UUUUCAGAGAUGAGAAUGUGCCUUCGGGAACCGUGAGACAGGUGCUGCAUGGCUGUCGUCAGCUCGUGUUGUGAAAUGUUGGGUUAAGUCCCGCAACGAGCGCAACCCUUAUCCUUUGUUGCCAGCGGUCCGGCCGGGAACUCAAAGGAGACUGCCAGUGAUAAACUGGAGGAAGGUGGGGAUGACGUCAAGUCAUCAUGGCCCUUACGACCAGGGCUACACACGUGCUACAAUGGCGCAUACAAAGAGAAGCGACCU
rnacentral:rRNA from 2 species